CAGUAGUCACGAGUUUGAUCAUGGCUCAGAACGAACGCUGGCGGCAUGCCUAACACAUGCAAGUCGAACGAGACCUUCGGGUCUAGUGGCGCACGGGUGCGUAACGCGUGGGAAUCUGCCCUUGGUUCGGAAUAACAGCGAGAAAUUGCUGCUAAUACCGGAUAAUGACGUAAGUCCAAAGAUUUAUCGCCAAGGGAUGAGCCCGCGUAGGAUUAGCUAGUUGGUGUGGUAAAGGCGCACCAAGGCGACGAUCCUUAGCUGGUCUGAGAGGAUGAUCAGCCACACUGGGACUGAGACACGGCCCAGACUCCUACGGGAGGCAGCAGUGGGGAAUAUUGGACAAUGGGCGAAAGCCUGAUCCAGCAAUGCCGCGUGAGUGAUGAAGGCCUUAGGGUUGUAAAGCUCUUUUACCCGGGAUGAUAAUGACAGUACCGGGAGAAUAAGCUCCGGCUAACUCCGUG
rnacentral:rRNA from 1 species